rnacentral:rRNA from 1 species
UGGGGAAUAUUGGACAAUGGGCGAAGGCCUGAUCCAGCCAUGCCGCGUGAGUGAUGAAGGCCUUAGGGUUGUAAAGCUCUUUCGCACGCGAAGAUAAUGACGGUAGCGUGAUAAGAAGCCCCGGCUAACUUCGUGCCAGCAGCCGCGGUAAUACGAAGGGGGCUAGCGUUGUUCGGAAUCACUGGGCGUAAAGCGCAUGCAGGCGGGUCGUUAAGUCGGGGGUGAAAUCCCGAGGCUCAACCUCGGAACUGCCUUCGAUACUGGCGACCUUGAGUCCGGGAGAGGUGAGUGGAACUGCGAGUGUAGAGGUGAAAUUCGUAGAUAUUCGCAAGAACACCAGUGGCGAAGGCGGCUCACUGGCCCGGUACUGACGCUCAGGUGCGAAAGCGUGGGGAGCAAACA